rnacentral:lncRNA from 1 species
GCAUGGUACGAAUCUCUCAUUAAUAUCAAGCAGCUACAUAAGUCGUUCGAUCUCUAUAGAUCGUCCACUCGAAGCCCUAAUCAGAUCUUCUUUUGUGGGAGUGCUAGCUCGCAUUGAAGGCUCUAUCAAGAUGGUUGAUCUAACCUUUUUCCUUUGGAUCUCUCAGACUUCUCUAGAUCAAAAGAUGAAGCUUUAUGAGGAGGUGGUGGUGUGAAAGAUUGGACAAGACUCACUCUUGUAUUUUCUUCUCACAAAACUUAGAGUUGAAACCCUAGAAACCACAGCUCACGCCUG